CCUACGGGUGGCAGCAGUGGGGAAUAUUGCACAAUGGGGGAAACCCUGAUGCAGCGACGCCGCGUGAGUGAAGAAGUAUUUCGGUAUGUAAAGCUCUAUCAGCAGGGAAGAAAAUUACGGUACCUGUUUAAGAAGCCCUGGCUAACUACGUGCCAGCAGCCGCGGUAAGACGUAGGUGACAAGCGUGAUCCGGAUUUACUGGGUGUAAAGGGAGCGUAGACGGGAGCACAAGUCCGUAGUGAAAUGCCGGGGCUUAACCACGGAACUGCUUUGGAAACUGUGCAGCUAGAGUGCAGUAGAGGUAAGUGGAAUUCGUGGUGUAGCGGUGAAAUGCGUAGAUAUUAGGAGGAACACCAGUGGCGAAGGCAGCUUACUGAACUGUAACUGACGUUGAGGCUCGAAAGCGUGGGGAGCAAACAGGAUUAGAUACCCGGGUAGUC
rnacentral:rRNA from 1 species